CUCAACCUCGCCUAACGACGCCUGUUGAGCUGUUUUGCACUUGUAGCACCCUUGCUAAAGUCUUUUGUGACCGUCUUUCUAGGAUUGGAUGAGAGUCCUGCCAAAAAUGUUGCAAGACCUCUCUUUCAUCAAUCUUCAGAUGGAAACAGAUCAGAGUUUGUCCAACAGGUCACCUCCAUUCUCUGAAUCAGCAUAAAGCAUCACCACACAGAUCUGUUUGACACACUGGAUGAUGGCUUCAGGGGCUCCUGAGAUCGUCACCGCUCGCUCGGUGGAGUUGGGCAGCAUGUCGCCUGCAACCUGCACCUGAGCUCCUGUGGACUACAGCAGGCGGAUGGUGAGGGUCACAUUCAGGCCACCUUCUGAUUGGACCUUGAUGGGCUCCAUGUCGGGAUUGGAUGUGAAGGAAGGGGCGUGGUCACGUG